rnacentral:rRNA from 1 species
GAUGAACGCUGGCGGCGUGCCUAAUACAUGCAAGUCGAGCGAACGGAUGAGAAGCUUGCUUCUCUGAUGUUAGCGGCGGACGGGUGAGUAACACGUGGAUAACCUACCUAUAAGACUGGGAUAACUUCGGGAAACCGGAGCUAAUACCGGAUAAUAUUUUGAACCGCAUGGUUCAAAAGUGAAAGACGGUCUUGCUGUCACUUAUAGAUGGAUCCGCGCUGCAUUAGCUAGUUGGUAAGGUAACGGCUUACCAAGGCAACGAUGCAUAGCCGACCUGAGAGGGUGAUCGGCCACACUGGAACUGAGACACGGUCCAGACUCCUACGGGAGGCAGCAGUAGGGAAUCUUCCGCAAUGGGCGAAAGCCUGACGGAGCAACGCCGCGUGAGUGAUGAAGGUCUUCGGAUCGUAAAACUCUGUUAUUAGGGAAGAACAUAUGUGUAAGUACCUGUGCACAUCUUGACGGUACCUAAUCAGAAAGCCACGGCUAACUACGU